GCCGGGGUGGUGGAAUGGUAGACACGAUGGACUUAAAAUCCAUUGCCCUUAUACGGCGUGCGGGUUCGAUUCCCGCUCCCGGCA
rnacentral:tRNA from 1 species